UCUUUGAUGGUCCAACGGUCAAGAUUUCCGCUUGUCAGUCAACACGCGGGAGAUCGGGGUUCGAUUCCCCGUCAGAGAG
rnacentral:tRNA from 2 species